GCCGGAAUUGUCCGCGGCGCCGGCGGCCGAAGCGGACGAAGUCGGAGGCGCAGGUUUGUGGCAGUGGGCGGCGAAGGUGGUUGCGCAGGUGGGAUACCGCGGGCAGCGCAGGUGGGCGACCGUUGCAGCGAGAUUCAACGGCGCUGGCGGCGCAGCUCGAGGCGGGCACCGGCGCAGGUUGCCUUCGCAGCGGGCGCCGCAGGUGGAAGCGUCGGCGCACGUCCAGGCGGGCUGCAGGCGGCGGCACUGGUGUUGGUCGCGCGCUGGGCGGCGCUGGUGUUCGUCGCGGCGCAGGUCCAGGCGGGCGGCGGCGCAGGUGGGAAGCCGAGGAUGGCUGCGAGGCGCGGGCGACUGGGGAGCACGAAGGAAGAAGAUGGAGUUAUUCGUGACGGGUUUAAAACUCUGAGGGUCUUUUUGCAAAAAAGUAAAUACACUGUGCUGAGGACAACUUUUCUUGGACGGAGGGAGUACAUAUGUGUAUUGUAAUUGUAAUAGUGCUUUGGAGUUCAGAAAAAGAUAACAAUAAAAGUUCAUAGAAGAACCCAAAACAUUCGGUAGUUCUGGAAGCACAAAUUUCAGUUCAACAUGUUUUCUAUCAUCAGCUCAUUAAGAACCCCGGAAAUGGUUCAAUGUGUGUCUUCAAAAAAAUAGUGUGGCUAUUUAUAUUAAAAAUGCUACUUUCAUUUGUUUGGUAGCCUUCUUUAAUUA
rnacentral:lncRNA from 1 species